UCUUAGUAAAGUGAGAAAUUAUAACUUGCAGUGAUUUUGUGAAUGUAAAAUAAUGCAGACUGCCAAAUAUUAUACUAGUCUGUGACGCAAUAAAAGUUACUCUGUUAAAAAAAAUAACCUCUUGUCUUUGUAUUGUUUGUGGUGCAAUACUGCAUAAAGUUUUUCCUUCCAACUAAAAAACAAACUUUUGAAACUUUCUUCAAGUUUCUUCUAGCCAUAACAUUAAAAGAAAUGCCUUUAUGUAAAAACCACCAUAACAAGUAAAUAUUUACUUACUAAUCGCAAAGGCAAACAACAAAACUUAAUGUUUUUUCGAGACAAACAUAAAAGAACAGAAAACUAGCUGCCUGACACCUAAAAUGAAGAGAUGAAAUAUCCUGGUCUUUCGGUACCAAAUUGUAACGUUUCGCCCUACCUCCUGCCUACUUAACUCCUACCUAAUGGAUUUACUAGAAGAUAUUUGAAACUACAA